rnacentral:rRNA from 1 species
UGCCUUUGUACACACCGCCCGUCGCUCCUACCGAUUGAAUGGUCCGGUGAAGUUUUCGGAUUGCGGCGACGCCGGCGGUUCGCCGCCGGUGACGUUGUGAGAAGUUUAUUAAACCUUAUCAUUUAGAGGAAGGAGAAGUCGUAACAAGGUUUCCGUAGGUGAACCUGCGGAAGGAUCAUUG